GUGUGUUAGUGUGUGAGGGCGGAGUUCAACAAAGGCGGUGCUUCCUCAGGGCAGCAUGCACACUGGAGCCGCUGCUGGCUGUGAAGAGAACAAUAGUCAGACUGAAUGUUGAACAUCAGCUGCUUCCUCCUGCUGAUUUAAACCUUGGUGGACAGAUGGAACAUUGGCUGUGGAUUAUUCUGGCUGCUCUUUUCUCUGAGUGUAAAGGAGACUCAGUGAAGCAGACAGAAGGAGAAGUUGUUGCUGCUGCAGGAGAAUCACUGACUCUGAGAUGUACUUAUGAGACCAGUGUGAGUGUCACAUUGUUCUGGUACAAACAAGAAGGAAACAGUUUCCCAAAGUACAUGGUGAAGCAGCUGUCAUCGUCAAAAUAUAAAGCUCCAGAUUUCGACAAUGACAGAUUUGAUGCUGACUUCAAUAAAGACAACAAAUCCUUCAACCUGAAGAUCCAGGAUCUCCGUCUGUCAGACUCUGCUGUGUACUACUGCGCUCUGCAGCCCACAGUGGCAGGAAACACCAGAACCCUGUACAAAAACCUGCAGUUCUCCGCAGCAGCCACUAGAGGGCCUCACUCCCUGUUGGUCCACUGGUUGUUGAGUCUUUGGACUGAAGACAAAGACAGAUGAGACGUUGUGACUGAGCUCAGUCUCAACCAUCACCAUUAUCUGCUUUAGACUGUGGCAACAGGACAGAAUGAAAACAAAAACAAUAAAAAAACAAAGUGCUACAAUAAAAUUAUUUGCUGUUAAUGUUUAACAGGUUGAAGGUUCAGAUCCAUGAGCUAUUGUUGCUUUAAUUGGAAGAUUGUGAAAAUGUUUGACUAAAUAUCUCAGAUUCUCUCAGUAAAUUGACUCAGAGGAAGCAGAUUAAAUAACAUGAACUUUAUUUAAAAAAGUAGAAAUUACAGACCAGAUGAGUCUUUUUCUUCAGCAGUGGAGUUUUGUUGAACUGUUGAUGAUUUAUAUUCUGCAGUGACUCAUAGUGGGAUGAAU